rnacentral:rRNA from 1 species
UACGUAGGGUGCAAGCGUUGUCCGGAAUUAUUGGGCGUAAAGAGCUCGUAGGCGGUCUGUUGCGUCCGCUGUGAAAACUCGGGGCUUAACCCCGAGCCUGCAGUGGAUACGGGCAGACUAGAGGUAGCUAGGGGGUAAUGGAAUUCCCGGUGUAGUGGUGGAAUGCGUAGAUAUCGGGAGGAACACCAGUGGCGAAGGCGGUUACCUGGAGCUUUGCUGACGCUGAUGCGCGAAAGCGUGGGGAGCGAUCCGG